UAUGUGUGAGUGUGAGCACCUCCGUCUGUGUGGUUUUAUUGACACCGUGCACAACGUCUUGGGUGCGUCUUACUUUCCGAAUGUCUUAGAAUCUGGAGAGUUCGGUAAUUGUCAGUGAGACCACUGCCCAGAGAGGCCAGGGGCACGAGAGACCCGAAAGAGGGCAGGGGGGGAGGCGGGUUGUUUGACCAUACUUCACCACGCUGGUUCAAUGCAGGUUGAUGAAGUUGAGAAGGCCCAUGACCGGUGCACAGGAAUCACACACCACUGAUGUUAGCCGUGGCCAGGAAUCGAACUCACGAGCCCAAGUUUGCAGUUUGCUCUUGCAUUAACAUCUGGUAAUUCAGGACCAGUUGUUAACAAGCCUGAAGCCCAGUAUACAUGGGACGUUGGGGCAGCUUUGGGCCAACGUUUCCAAUCACAUGCUAAGGUUGGGCCAACGCUGAACCAACGUUGGGUCAACGCUGAACCAACGUUGGGUCAACGCUGAACCAACGUUGGGUCAACAUUGGGCCAGCGGACUUGUAUGAUAAAUUAAUGAAUGAUUUAAAUUCAGCGACUCGGUUAUCAUUUUCUCUAUGUUGCACUCCGUGCGUGUUUUUGUGUUGUUUGCUGCUGUAACUUGCUGACCCGCCCAUGCUGGACAUGUGCGAAAAAGAGCUUCAUAGCUCAUCGGAUUCCUUGCAGUCUCAAUACAGAUUCUGAAUCUGUUUACUGGGUGACUGCCUGAUGAGACCCGGCAUUUCGAAACCGGUGCGGAGUUUCCUUUUCUUGACCAAAUACUGCUGAAUAAUAUCACUGGUCUGGAAGGCCAAAAGGUUAUUGAUAUGGACAGAGGACAAAGUUCUGCUCAUGAUGGCAAUUGAAGUUAAUGGAAAUGGCUUAAAAGCAAUUUUAAUGGACUAUACCACUACACACCAAGCAAGGGGGGAGAGGGAGGUCGUAGUUGGAAGUUAAUGAUUAACAACCCGGAUCUUACACCCAUUUCAACAACUUUAUUUUCUGAACUAAAUUAAUUGAACACAGCAUUAAUUUAUAUAUAAUAUCGAUUCAUUAUAUUAAAAUUAUCAGGAACGGUAAUGAACCUGGGGAUUUUAAACCGGGUUUCGGUAGAAACAAUCUCCCCCUCCCACCCCCCUCACGUGAGCGGGACACUUGGUAUGGCCCAUCGAGGGUCGCCACCACGUGGGAACGAAGCAGGGCUCAUUGCGGGAGGAAAUCCCUCCUGAGCGGACGUGGGGACUGCGUUGUUCGCGGGCCAGCGAGGGUCUCGGGGGUCUCGGGGGUCUCGGGGGUCUUGGACCGGUUCCGGAGUCCCUGGACUCCCACAGUAGGCGAGAACGAAGAGGAGAGGACCGCGCUGAUGGGAACCGGGGUGUGAGCUGGUGCUGUUUGCGAGCGCCUAUUAAGGGCGGCGCGGCGUGCGGAGAGGGAGUCGGUGUGGCCAGCGCAGCAGCCGCGCCCAGGCCGCCCACGGAUCGCACGCCACACCAGACACAGCCCGCGGUCGUUUCAAGGUCGAGGGUGAUGUCGCUGCUCCGUGUGUGAUCCAAAGUGAGUGAUUUUUCGGUGUAAUUUUUUCCAAUUUGGCAAAUUUGGACCAUGACGCUGGCACACAACGGUCGAAUUCCCGUUUUCACUGACGUCACGGGACCUUCAGCGUCCACUGCGAGUGAAGCAAACGGCGCAGUUGGUAUUUUACGGUUUAUACAAACCACCGCAAGUGUUAACCGGGGCGGCCCACCAGGGAUGAACCGCGAACCUCUGCAGCGAGUGGCGAGCGCGCCACCGCUGGGCCACGUCGGUGAACAUUAGACCUGGGGAAAGUACGAAUUGUAACCGUGUCUCGUGAUGGGUUACGCUCAUCUGCGCACACACACACAGUGUACACGCGUGCACGUUUGUGGGGAGCGGUGGUGCAGUGGUUAGCGCAC